CAGUUCCCAUACAAUCAUUGAAGUUAAGCAACAUUGAGCCUGGUUAGUACAUAGAUGGGGGACUACUUGGGAAUACCAAGUGCUGUG